GGAAACAUGACAGAGGAAGACAUUGCAUGAACAAGAAUGCUUAUUAUUUAGGGGAAUACCUAAACUGCCUCUUCACAAAACCACAGAAGUGCGGCCCCAUAUUCCGUGAAGCAUUAUGAGCCUGGAGCUGAAAGACAGAUUGGCCUAAAUUCAACUGCAAGACUCAACUAAAAGUAAAUCUUAUGAUUCAACAGGAUUUUGAUAUCCCAAUUCAUUAUGUGCAGUAACAAUUCACUUGAAAAACAAACCUUUGUUGUCGACCGCGUUUUAGGGGAUCGGGGCCCUUGAGGAGAGACCCGAUCCGGUCCUGAGAGAAUGGACCUUGGCGGAGCCAAUAGGAAAAUAUGAGCCGCAAUACAACCUGAAGCCGAAAUGAAGAAGGUCCGCCAAAGUUGAAGGAAAAUCCGUCAAGGAGUCUUUAUUGAAGAGGACUCUAGUAGCGAUCAUUCGGUCUACUAGUAGUACCAUACAAUCAAAAUAAAGCCAUAUUUAUACAAAAUUUCAGUCUGACAGCCCUUUGAAUUUCCCGCCCUGCUUCCCCGCCUAUCUGAUCGUUGAUAGGCUAGAAGGUUGAACGAGGCGGGCUUUCGUUUCCCGCCUCGCUCCGUUGGCCCAAUAGGAAGCUGCCUUACGUCUCCACUCGGGCCAAUCAGGAGAGAGAAGGCGGGA